GACGAACGCUGGCGGCGUGCCUAAUACAUGCAAGUUGAGCGCUGAAGGUUGGUCCUUGUACCAACUGGAUGAGCAGCGAACGGGUGAGUAACGCGUGGGGAAUCUGCCUUUGAGCGGGGGACAACAUUUGGAAACGAAUGCUAAUACCGCAUAAAAACUUUAAACACAAGUUUUAAGUUUGAAAGAUGCAAUUGCAUCACUCAAAGAUGAUCCCGCGUUGUAUUAGCUAGUUGGUGGGGUAAAGGCUCACCAAGGCGAUGAUACAUAGCCGACCUGAGAGGGUGAUCGGCCACAUUGGGACUGAGACACGGCCCAAACUCCUACGGGAGGCAGCAGUAGGGAAUCUUCGGCAAUGGACGAAAGUCUGACCGAGCAACGCCGCGUGAGUGAAGAAGGUUUUCGGAUCGUAAAACUCUGUUGGUAGAGAAGAACGUUGGUGAGAGUGGAAAGCUCAUCAAGUGACGGUAACUACCCAGAAAGGGACGGCUAACUACGUG
rnacentral:rRNA from 1 species